rnacentral:hammerhead_ribozyme from 1 species
AAGCGAAACGCCUUUUCCCCACUAAAAAAGGCGUCUACCCAACGUGGCAGUUAGGUACUGAUGAGCAGCCAACU